GACGAACGCUGGCGGCGCGCCUAACACAUGCAAGUCGAACGGAGCUUAGAGAGCUUGCUUUUUAAGCUUAGUGGCGAACGGGUGAGUAACGCGUGAGUAACCUGCCCUAGAGUGGGGGACAACAGUUGGAAACGACUGCUAAUACCGCAUAAGCCCACGGUACCGCAUGGUACUGAGGGAAAAGGAUUUAUUCGCUUUAGGAUGGACUCGCGUCCAAUUAGCUAGUUGGUGGGGUAACGGCCCACCAAGGCGACGAUUGGUAGCCGGACUGAGAGGUUGAACGGCCACAUUGGGACUGAGACACGGCCCAGACUCCUACGGGAGGCAGCAGUGGGGGAUAUUGCACAAUGGGGGAAACCCUGAUGCAGCGACGCCGCGUGGAGGAAGAAGGUUUUCGGAUUGUAAACUCCUGUCGUUAGGGACGAUAAUGACGGUAC
rnacentral:rRNA from 1 species